UGGGGAAUCUUGCACAAUGGGGGAAACCCUGAUGCAGCGACGCCGCGUGAACGAUGAAGCCCUUCGGGGUGUAAAGUUCUUUCGACAGGAACGAUAAUGACGGUACCUGGAGAAGAAGCUGCGGCUAACUACGUGCCAGCAGCCGCGGUAAUACGUGGGCAGCGAGCGUUGUUCGGAGUUACUGGGCGUAAAGAGUGCGUAGGCGGCGAGCCAAGUUUGGUGUGAAAUCUCCCGGCUUAACCGGGAGGGCGCGCCGAAAACUGGUUGGCUGGAGUAUGGGAGAGGAAAGCUGAAUUCCUGGUGUAGCGGUGAAAUGCGUAGAUAUCAGGAGGAACACCUGCGGUGUAGACAGCUUUCUGGACCAAAACUGACGCUGAGGCACGAAAGCGUGGGUAGCAAACA
rnacentral:rRNA from 1 species